UGAUCGUGUCUUCUGCGCUCAUGA
rnacentral:piRNA from 1 species